rnacentral:rRNA from 1 species
ACUCAAAUGAAUAGACGGGGGCCCGCACAAGCGGUGGAGCAUGUUGUUUAAUACGUCACUAACCGUAGAACCUUACCAGGGCUUGACAUCCAUCGCACCGGGGUGAAAGCCUCGUUCCCCGCAAGGGGACGGUGAGACAGGUGUUGCAUGGCUGUCGUCAGCUCGUGUCGUGAGAUGUUGGGUUAAGUCCCGCAACGAGCGCAACCCUCAUCCCAUGUUGCCAGCGAGUAAAGUCGGGAACUCUUGGGAAACUGCCGGGGUAACUCGGAGGAAGGUGGGGAUGACGUCAAGUCAGCAUGGCCCUUACGCCCUGGGCUACAAACAUGCUACAAUGGACGGUAGACAGAGCGAGCCGAAGCCGUGAGGUGGGGGCAAUCGCAAAAAUCCGUUCUCAGUUCGGAUCGCAGGCUGCAACUCGCCUGCGUGAAGCCGGAAUCGCUAGUAACCGCAGGUCAGCCAAACUGCGGUGAAUACGUUCCCGGGCCUUGUACACACCGCCCGU